AUGGCCGGAAUUGUCAACAAGGAGUUUCCUGAGUUGGCCCAGACAGGGCUGAACUACCUGUCAUGGUCCUCGGACUGCGAGAUCUUUCUCCAGGGAAAACCCUCCUGAGGGCGAUCGGUAAGGGGGCCCAGCUGGCCGUCACUGAUCCCAAGUUCGGAGAAUGCGCAGGCUCUGCACUUUCUCUGUCAUCACCUGUCACCUACUCUGAAAGAUGAGUAUAUGGCUGAGCGCAGUGCUUCUGGCCUUUGGACCGCUCUUAAGCAGCGGUUUGAGCGACUGAAGUACACUGUGAAGCCACGUGCAGAGGCAGAGUGGAUCCGUCUGAGCCAGAAGAUUGAGAAAACCCUAUCCACUUUCCACCCCGACGCAGUCCAGUCCUCACGGAACUACCGCCAGGGGAACUACACGAGGUAUUCAGAGUUGAUUGACGUCCUCCAGGUGGCGGAGGCGCAGGACGAGGUUCUCAAAAGGAACUUUGUCGCGCAACCACUUGGGAAGAAGAGGGGCCGGAAGGGCAAGAAGAAGGGCCCUCACUCCCCCGCCCCGGCUAAGCAGAACAAGCCGGGCAAGGGAGGGCAAAGGCCUCAGGACUGCUUCCGUUGUGGCUCGGUGGAGCAUUUCUCCCGCCAGUGCCGCACACCACAGGAGGUCGUUGAUGCAUAUAAGGCUCGGAAGGUGCGUGAGACGCACCUCGCCUUGGUUCAGGAGGGAGCACCACCGGCGCCCAUGGCGGCACCCGUGAUGAUCGCUACUCCCCCUGCUGCGCCUAUAGAGGCGACCCCAGUGGUGCCCAUAGCGGCAGCUUUGGCGGUCUCUACCGACGCCCACGUCGCCAUGCUGCCUCCAAGAUGA
rnacentral:rRNA from 1 species